rnacentral:lncRNA from 1 species
GCCCAGGAGCGCUGGCGGCCCCGAUUAGGAUCUGCGCUCAGCGUUGCGCUGCAGUUUCGCUCUCAGCCUGUUCCCACACGCCGGCACAGGGCAGGGUGCGGCGGGCAGGCAGCACGUGGGGAUGGGGCCAAGGGCUUCACCAGCACUGUGCCAGCACCCUCAGCCCCAUCCCUUCCACUCAGUCCCUGCUGGGGUUGCUCAGGGCUGGGAGCUGCCGGUCCCAACUUUGUGCUAUCCCAGUCCCCAUCCAGCCGAGCGGUGGGGGCUAUGGGGUUUUGGGGCCCAAAGUGGAGCCCACGUGUGCACUGCCUGACCUCACGGAUGCAAGGGGCUAUGGUUUUGAAUAGAAUGCACUUCUGCCCCAUCUCAUCCCAAAAUGGUAGCAACCCCCCCCCCCCAUACGGAGAGUAUGGGGGCAGGUCCCCCCCAGGGCACAGCGUGGAGCUUGAGAGUUCAGGUGCUGCCAGAAGCACCGAGCUGCUGCCAAAUGGUGGCAAUGAGCAGAGCAGGAGCUGCAGAAAUAUUCUGUUCUACCGGUUUUGGUGCAAGUUGGGGGGCAGGGAGGGGGGGUGAGGGGACGAGCCCCAGCUCUGUGGCCUGCUGGGGGGGAGCAUGGCCACCCAUCACACUCAGAGCACCCACAGAUGGCCCUAAACUCACACAGCUGCAGCGAGGGAUGUGGGAUGGAGCCCAGCACCACAGAGACAGACAGGAAAUGGGAAAAUCUUUAUUUUGUUACAAAAGUAAAAGGCAGAAUCCUACCAGGCUUGAAGCCCUUUGCACAGGGGGAGGGGACCCAUCCCCUCCAUCAGAGCCCCAUAGUGAUGGAGCGGGGGGUGGGGAGCUCAUGAGGAGGGUGAGCGUUGACCAUGCACCAUCCUACAGGGUCGAGUGGGAUGCAGUGGGCAACGCGCUGCUGGCUCAAACCCAACCCCCCCCAGGAGGAACCCCCAGCAGGAAGGAGGAAGGCACAGCGCUGCAGAGGCACAGGCGGUGCUGA